rnacentral:rRNA from 1 species
GUGUCAGCAGCCGCGGUAAUACGUAGGGACCGAGCGUUGUCCGGAUUCAUUGGGCGUAAAGAGCUCGUAGGCGGCCACUCAAGUCGAAUGUGAAACCUCGAGGCUUAACCUCGAGCCUGCAUUCGAUACUGGGCGGCUAGAGUCUGGUAGGGGGAUCUGGAAUUCCUGGUGUAGCGGUGGAAUGCGCAGAUAUCAGGAGGAACACCGGUGGCGAAGGCGGGAUCCUGGGCCAGUACUGACGCUGAGGAGCGAAAGCGUGGGGAGCAAACAGGAUUAGAAACCCCCGUAGUCC